GCAGCAGCCGCGGGAAUACAGAGGGUGCGAGCGUUAAUCGGAUUUACUGGGCGUAAAGCGUGCGUAGGCGGCUUCUUAAGUCGGAUGUGAAAUCCCUGAGCUUAACUUAGGAAUUGCAUUCGAUACUGGGAAGCUAGAGUAUGGGAGAGGAUGGUAGAAUUCCAGGUGUAGCGGUGAAAUGCGUAGAGAUCUGGAGGAAUACCGAUGGCGAAGGCAGCCAUCUGGCCUAAUACUGACGCUGAGGUACGAAAGCAUGGGGAGCAAACAGGAUUAGAUACCCGGGUAGUCCCUGUCUCUUAUAC
rnacentral:rRNA from 1 species